CAAAGGCUCCAAAGGAAGCCACGGCUAACUCUGUGCCAGCAGCCGCGGUAAUACAGAGGUGGCAAGCGUUGUUCGGAAUUAUUGGGCGUAAAGAGCACGUAGGUGGAUUUGUAAGUCAGACGUGAAAGCCUUCUGUUCAACGGAAGAAUUGCAUCUGAAACUACAAACCUCGAGUGUAGGAGGGGAGAAUGGAACUUCUGGUGGAGCGGUGAAAUGCGCAGAUAUCAGAAGGAACGCCGGCGGCGAAAGCGAUUCUCUGGCCUAUUACUGACACUCGGUGUGCGAAAGCUAGGGGAGCAAACGGGAUUAGAUACCCCGGUAGUCCUAGCCGUAAA
rnacentral:rRNA from 1 species